rnacentral:sRNA from 1 species
AUUUCCAAUACAACCGUGACGUCAUCUGUCCCAUGGACCCCCAACCUACAGUAUCUAUACCAAAAUCACUAGAAAUAUAUCUAGGAAAGCCAUAUUUUGUAAUGUUAAGUGAAAAAAAUUCGGAAAAAACGGAAAUCGAUUUGCACCGCCUGCUGGGAGAAGCCUCAAAAAUCCUGAGCCAAGGCUCCGCGAGCCCGAGUUUUUGUGCAGGGAAUCAGCUUAAAAAGCUUAGUUUAGGCCUUCCAAAUCAGAUAAUUGCACCGAGAUUCAAAAUGGCUGAGAAAGUGGCAAAAGCGGAACUCGUUGCCAACUGGGAGUAUUAUGUGAAAAAAGUUGCCGCGUGGCUUGCACAUUUUGACGAUUUCCGGAGAUUGGAUGUAGAUUUACAGG